rnacentral:rRNA from 1 species
CCUACGGGAGGCAGCAGUAGGGAAUCUUCCACAAUGGGCGAAAGCCUGAUGGAGCAACGCCGCGUGGGUGAAGAAGGUCUUCGGAUCGUAAAACCCUGUUGUUAGAGAAGAAAGUGCGUGAGUGUAACUGUUCACGAUUCGACGGUAUCUAACCAGCAGGCCACGGCUAACUACGUGCCAGCAGCCGCGGUAAUACGUAGGUGGCAAGCGUUAUCCGGAUUUAUUGGGCGUAAAGGGAACGCAGGCGGUCUAGUAAGUCUGAUGUGAACUCCUUCGGCUUAACCGGAGUAGUGCAUUGGAAACUGGUAUACUAGAGUACGGAAGAGGUGGGUGGAACUCUAGGUGUAGCGGUGAAAUGCGUAGAGAUAAGGAGGAAUACCAGUGGCGAAGGCGACUCGCUGGACUGUAACUGACGCUGAGGUGCGAAAGCGUGGGGAGCAAACAGGAUUAGAUACCCUUGUAGUC